rnacentral:tRNA from 2 species
GGGCCGGUAGAUCAACGGUAGAUCGCUUGCAUGGCAUGCAAGAGGCUGCGGGUUCAAAUCCCGUCCGGUCCA